GCCUGGGUGGCUCAGUCGGUUAAGCAUCUGACUUCAGCUCAGGUCAUGAUUUCGCGGUCCGUAGGUUCGAGCCCCGCAUCGGGCU
rnacentral:tRNA from 1 species